UACGGAGGGUGCGAGCGUUGUCCGGAAUCACUGGGCGUAAAGGGCGCGUAGGCGGCGCGGAUAGUCGGCGGUGAAAGCCCGGAGCUCAACUCCGGGUCGGCCGUCGAUACUUCCGGGCUUGAGCACUGUAGAGGCAGGUGGAAUUCCGGGUGGUAGCGGUGGAAUGCGUAGAGAUCCGGAAGAACACCAGGUGGCGAAGGCGGCCCGCUGGGCAGUGGCUGACGCUGAGGCGCGACAGCGUGGGGAGCAAACAGG
rnacentral:rRNA from 1 species